CCUACGGGUGGCAGCAGUGGGGAAUAUUGGGCAAUGGGCGCAAGCCUGACCCAGCAACGCCGCGUGAAGGAAGAAGGCUUUCGGGUUGUAAACUUCUUUUCUCAGGGACGAAGCAAGUGACGGUACCUGAGGAAUAAGCCACGGCUAACUACGUGCCAGCAGCCGCGGUAAUACGUAGGGGGCAAGCGUUAUCCGGAUUUACUGGGUGUAAAGGUCGUGUAGGCGGGGACUCAAGUCAGAUGUGAAAACCACGGGCUCAACCUGUGGCCUGCCUUUGAAACUGUGUUUCUUGAGUGCUGGAGAGGCAGACGGAAUUCCGAGUGUAGCGGUGAAAUGCGUAGAUAUUAGGAGGAACAUCAGUGGCGAAGGCGGUCUUCUGGACAGCAACUGACGCUGAGGCGCGAAAGCGUGGGGAGCAAACAGGAUUAGAUACCCUUGUAGUC
rnacentral:rRNA from 1 species